GUGCUCCCUUUGGGAGCACAUAUGCUAAAAUUAGAACGAUACAGAGAAGAUUAACAUGGCCUCUGCACAAGGAUGACACACAGAUUCGUAUAGCGUUACAUAUUUGG